GAUGAACGCUGGCGGCGUGCUUAACACAUGCAAGUCGAACGAAGCGCUUUAAUCGAUUUCUUCGGAUUGAAAUUUUAGUGACUGAGUGGCGGACGGGUGAGUAACGCGUGGGUAACCUGCCUCACACAGGGGGAUAACAGUUGGAAACGGCUGCUAAUACCGCAUAAGCGCACAGUACCGCAUGGUACGGUGUGAAAAACUCCGGUGGUGUGAGAUGGACCCGCGUCUGAUUAGCUAGUUGGCAUGGCAACGGCCUACCAAGGCGACGAUCAGUAGCCGACCUGAGAGGGUGACCGGCCACAUUGGGACUGAGACACGGCCCAAACUCCUACGGGAGGCAGCAGUGGGGAAUAUUACACAAUGGGGGAAACCCUGAUGCAGCGACGCCGCGUGAGUGAAGAAGUAUUUCGGUAUGUAAAGGCUCUAUCAGCAGGGAAGAAAAUGACGGUACCUGACUAAGAAGCCCCGGCUAACUACGUG
rnacentral:rRNA from 1 species